GUAGGGCUGAAGAGCACAGUCAGGGAGUAUAUUAGAGGUAUGGGGAGUAGGGUCAUGUGGUAGGGUCGAAGAGCAGCCAGGGAGUGUAUUAGAGGUAUGGGGAGUAGGGUCAUGUGGUAGGGCUGAAGAGCACAGUCAGGGAGUAUAUUAGCGGUAUGGGGAGUAGGGUCAUGUGGUAGGGCUGAAGAGCAGUCAGGGAGUAUAUCUGGGUGGUGGAAGGUCAGUAUGCACUUACUGAGUACAUGCCUUAUGCUAGCAUCAAAUAGGCUUCCUGCAUUUAUCGCAUCAAGUAGCCUGAUUUCAGAUGUGUCAAUGUAAACAGCUCUUCUUGCAAAGCAUGUUGACGUUUUAAAUCCAAAUAUUGGGGCUAUAUUAAUCCAACUAUCCACAAUAAUCAUACACUGAGUAUACCAAACAUU